rnacentral:tRNA from 1 species
GCGAGGGUGGCGGAAUUGGCAGACGCGCCAGGUUUAGGUCCUGGUGUCUAACGACAUGCGGGUUCGAGUCCCGCCCCUCGCA